CUGGUGGAGCGCUUAGAAGUGAGAAUGCCGGUAUGAGUAGCGAAAGAGGGGUGAGAAUCCCCUCCACCGAAUGCCUAAGGUUUCCUGAGGAAGGCUCGUCCGCUCAGGGUUAGUCGGGACCUAAGCCGAGGCCGAAAGGCGUAGGCGAUGGACAACAGGUUGAUAUUCCUGUACCACCUCCUCACCAUUUGAGCAAUGGGGGGACGCAGGAGGAUAGGGUAAGCGCGGUAUUGGAUAUCCGCGUCCAAGCAGUUAGGCUGGGAAAUAGGCAAAUCCGUUUCCCAUAAGGCUGAGCUGUGAUGGCGAGCGAAGUAUAGUAGCGAAGUUCCUGAUUCCACACUGCCAAGAAAAGCCUCUAGCGAGGUGAGAGGUGCCCGUACCGCAAACCGACACAGGUAGGCGAGGAGAGAAUCCUAAGGUGAUCGAGAGAACUCUCGUUAAGGAACUCGGCAAAAUGACCCCGUAACUUCGGGAGAAGGGGUGCUCUGUUAGGGUGCAAGCCCGAGAGAGCCGCAGUGAAUAGGCCCAGGCGACUGUUUAGCAAAAACACAGGUCUCUGCGAAGCCGUAAGGCGAAGUAUAGGGGCUGACGCCUGCCCGGUGCUGGAAGGUUAAGAGGAGCGCUUAGCGUAAGCGAAGGUGCGAAUUGAAGCCCCAGUAAACGGCGGCCGUAACGAUAACGGUCCUAAGGUAGCGAAAUUCCUUGUCGGGUAAGUUCCGACCCGCACGAAAGGCGCAACGAUCUGGGCACUGUCUCAACGAGAGACUCGGUGAAAUUAUAGUACCUGUGAAGAUGCAGGUUACCCGCGACAGGACGGAAAGACCCCGUGGAGCUUUACUGCAGCCUGAUAUUGAAUGUUGGUACAGCUUGUACAGGAUAGGUAGGAGCCUUGGAAACCGGAGCGCCAGCUUCGGUGGAGGCAUCGGUGGGAUACUACCCUGGCUGUAUUGACCUUCUAACCCGCCGCCCUUAUCGGGCGGGGAGACAGUGUCAGGUGGGCAGUUUGACUGGGGCGGUCGCCUCCUAAAAGGUAACGGAGGCGCCCAAAGGUUCCCUCAGAAUGGUUGGAAAUCAUUCGCAGAGUGUAAAGGCACAAGGGAGCUUGACUGCGAGACCUACAAGUCGAGCAGGGACGAAAGUCGGGCUUAGUGAUCCGGUGGUUCCGCAUGGAAGGGCCAUCGCUCAACGGAUAAAAGCUACCCCGGGGAUAACAGGCUUAUCUCCCCCAAGAGUCCACAUCGACGGGGAGGUUUGGCACCUCGAUGUCGGCUCAUCGCAUCCUGGGGCUGUAGUCGGUCCCAAGGGUUGGGCUGUUCGCCCAUUAAAGCGGUACGCGAGCUGGGUUCAGAACGUCGUGAGACAGUUCGGUCCCUAUCCGUCGCGGGCGCAGGAAAUUUGAGAGGAGCUGUCCUUAGUACGAGAGGACCGGGAUGGACGCACCGCUGGUGUACCAGUUGUUCUGCCAAGGGCAUCGCUGGGUAGCUAUGUGCGGACGGGAUAAGUGCUGAAAGCAUCUAAGCAUGAAGCCCCCCUCAAGAUGAGAUUUCCCAUUCCGCAAGGAAGUAAGAUCCCUGAAAGAUGAUCAGGUUGAUAGGUCUGAGGUGGAAGUGUGGCGACACAUGGAGCUGACAGAUACUAAUCGAUCGAGGACUUAACC
rnacentral:rRNA from 1 species